rnacentral:rRNA from 1 species
GGAAUAUUGGACAAUGGGCGAAAGCCUGAUCCAGCAACGCCGCGUGGAGGAUGACGGUUUUCGGAUUGUAAACUCCUGUCAGGUGGGACGAAAAGAGCUGGUCAAUAGCCAGACUCGUUGACGGUACCACCAGAGGACGCCCCGGCUAACUCCGUUCCAGCAGCCGCGGUAAUACGGAGGGGGCGCGCGUUAUUCGGAAUUAUUGGGCGUAAAGGGCGCGUAGGCGGCCUGAUAAGUCAGGGGUGAAAUCCCUCGGCUCAACCGAGGAACUGCCUCUGAAACUGUCAAGCUAGAGGCCGGGAGAGGGUAGCGGAAUUCCCAGUGUAGCGGUGAAAUGCGUAGAUAUUGGGAGGAACACCAGUGGCGAAGGCGGCUACCUGGACCGGUUCUGACGCUGAGGCGCGAAAGUGUGGGGAGCA